rnacentral:rRNA from 1 species
AAAUUGAAGAGUUUGAUCAUGGCUCAGAUUGAACGCUGGCGGCAGGCCUAACACAUGCAAGUCGAACGGUAACAGGAAGCAGCUUGCUGCUUUGCUGACGAGUGGCGGACGGGUGAGUAAUGUCUGGGAAACUGCCUGAUGGAGGGGGAUAACUACUGGAAACGGUGGCUAAUACCGCAUAACGUCGCAAGACCAAAGAGGGGGGCCUUCGGGCCUCUUGCCAUCAGAUGUGCCCAGAUGGGAUUAGCUAGUUGGUGAGGUAACGGCUCACCAAGGCGACGAUCCCUAGCUGGUCUGAGAGGAUGACCAGCCACACUGGAACUGAGACACGGUCCAGACUCCUACGGGAGGCAGCAGUGGGGAAUAUUGCACAAUGGGCGCAAGCCUGAUGCAGCCAUGCCGCGUGUAUGAAGAAGGCCUUCGGGUUGUAAAGUACUUUCAGCGGGGAGGAAGGUGUUGUGGUUAAUAACCGCAGCAAUUGACGUUACCCGCAGAAGAAGCACCGGCUAACUCCGUGCCAGCAGCCGCGGUAAUACGGAGGGUGCAAGCGUUAAUCGGAAUUACUGGGCGUAAAGCGCACGCAGGCGGUCUGUCAAGUCGGAUGUGAAAUCCCCGGGCUCAACCGGGAACUGCAUUCGAAACUGGCAGGCUUGAGUCUUGUAGAGGGGGGUAGAAUUCCAGGUGUAGCGGUGAAAUGCGUAGAGAUCUGGAGGAAUACCGGUGGCGAAGGCGGCCCCCUGGACAAAGACUGACGCUCAGGUGCGAAAGCGUGGGGAGCAAACAGGAUUAGAUACCCGGUAGUCCACGCCGUAAACGAUGUCUACUUGGAGGUUGUGCCCUUGAGGCGUGGCUUCCGGAGCUAACGCGUUAAGUAGACCGCCGGGAGUACGGCCGCAAGGUUAAAACUCAAAUGAAUUGACGGGGGCCCGCACAAGCGGUGGAGCAUGUGGUUUAAUUCGAUGCAACGCGAAGAACCUUACCUGGUCUUGACAUCCACGGAAGUUUUCAGAGAUGAGAAUGUGCCUUCGGGAACCGUGAGACAGGUGCUGCAUGGCUGUCGUCAGCUCGUGUUGUGAAAUGUUGGGUUAAGUCCCGCAACGAGCGCAACCCUUAUCCUUUGUUGCCAGCGAUUAGGUCGGGAACUCAAAGGAGACUGCCAGUGAUAAACUGGAGGAAGGUGGGGAUGACGUCAAGUCAUCAUGGCCCUUACGACCGGGCUACACACGUGCUACAAUGGCGCAUACAAAGAGAAGCGACCUCGCGAGAGCAAGCGGACCUCAUAAAGUGCGUCGUAGUCCGGAUUGGAGUCUGCAACUCGACUCCAUGAAGUCGGAAUCGCUAGUAAUCGUGGAUCAGAAUGCCACGGUGAAUACGUUCCCGGGCCUUGUACACACCGCCCGUCACACCAUGGGAGUGGGUUGCAAAAGAAGUAGGUAGCUUAACCUUCGGGAGGGCGCUUACCACUUUGUGAUUCAUGACUGGGGUGAAGUCGUAACAAGGUAACCGUAGGGGAACCUGCGGUUGGAUCACCUCCUUACCUUAAAGAAGC